CUUGUUCCCCGACAUGGGUCAGGGUGGGUCUGCUGGUCUCUAGGGCCACAGGUGAAAUACCACACUACUCUCAUCUUUUUUUUCACUGACCCGGGGCGGGGGGGGGGGGAGGCGGGUCCAAAGGGGCUCUCGCUUCUGGUGCCAAGCGCCUGCGCCCUGCUCCGGGGACAGUGCCAGGUGGGGAGUUGACUGGGACAGUACGCCUGUGAAACUGUAAUGCAGUGUUCAAAGGCAAGCUCAGGGAGGACAGAAACCUCCCAUGGAGCAGAAGGGCAGAAGCUUGCUUGAUCUUAAUUUUCAGUAUGAAGAAUUACAGACCGUGAAAGCAGGGCCUCAUGAUCCUUCUGACCUUUUGGGUUUUAAGCAGGAGGUGUCAGAAAG
rnacentral:ncRNA from 1 species